AGACAGCAAAGCAAGUGCUUCAAGACAUCGACAAGGAGAAGAAGCAAAUCGCGUGGAAGAUGCUGGAAGGAGACCUCUGCGAGCUCUACAAGAACAUGCUCAUAACCGUGCACGUGGAGACCAAAGAUGGGGUCGACUUUAUCACCUGGACUAUUGACUACGAGCUCAUUGCUCUCGAUAAUCCUCACCCGCUUUCCCUCUUGAACUUCUUCAUCUGUCUCACUAAGGAAAUGGAGUCUCACAUUUUCGGAUAAGUCUUGCGGAUCUCACCAACCUACCCACAUAAUAAUCCUAUCUUCUUCUCCAUUUUAAUAAAUAAGUGGAGGUUUGGUCAAGUUUCUGCCAAUACUUUGUGUUGUACUACUAUCACGUUUCUUACUUUCUACUGCUAUUACAGAUUAUGGGUUCAGAAUUG
rnacentral:lncRNA from 1 species